GGUUGUUGGUUCUGUUCUUCUGUUGGUUGAUGCUCUACGAAAAUAGCCUUGGAUAGUCGCCGGGUUGGUUCGGUUGGUUGGUGCUGGGAUCAGGGACAGAAGCGAGAACUGGCAUUGGGAACUGCACGAGAGAGAAGAUAGCAUUUCACUCAAGUGAACUGGGGCGCAACAAAACACGAGAGUCGGGCUGCUAUUGCCGUUGCCGUUGCACUGUUGCACUGUUGCAAGUGAGAAUGCAUCAUUAGUGCAGGAAACCGACAAGCGGCAGACGAACAGACAGACCGACAGACACAACCAACUGCGAAAUGGGAAUAUUCGUACCAUAUUCGCGCACGAAACAGAGAAGGACGAUGCAUAGAGCGGGUCUGGGAUCGGGAUACGAGACGCCACCAGACGGGGCAAGACAAGCGAAACCAUGUGGCAAAUGAGGCUAAAACAUAAGUGAAGCCAGGCACAACCAGAGACGUCGCCAGCCAUCAUCAUCAUCAUCAUCGUCCUCAUCCUCAUCCUCGCAGAGUGGCAGUGAUGGAUGGAUGGAUGGAUGGAUGAAGGCAAUGGAUGCAUCCAAGCAGUCAACGUUCCCUUCCAUGUCGUGGCAUUGAUAUCCGACACUGGAAAAGCGGUUUACGGUAUAGGCUUGCAAUCGUUGAAAGGAACGGCACAGAUUUGGGGCUCAGGGCCUACUCUUACGAGUCCAAUUUUCCAACACUAUACACAAUAAAAUGCAAUGCUUUCCCAACCGAGUCACCUCUGACAUUUGUCUCAAGGUCAACCCCCAAGAAAUAUAUUUGGGGCUCUGGGGAAGAUGAGGUAGAGCGCCCUACAGUUCGCUACUAUCUUCUACAAUGCGGCUUCUUUAAGAUCCUGUAUCUAGUGAUCCGUCCUGCCCUUCAACACCCCUCCGACCAGCCCAGCCAGAUCUGUGCUGUGCUGUUGGUGGAAUGGUGGAACAUCCCCUGUACUGCCCGGCUCAGUGUCAUCGCGGUUUAUUGAUUUAUGUAUCGGGCCCAUUGAUCCUAUUGCUCCAAGAACCCCGAACAGCUUAUAACAGAGUCUUACCAAGAAGUCGUUGCAGGAGUCGCAGGAGGACGGGGUACAGGAGAGGAGGAAAGUUUUACUAAAAUUAUAGGUAUACAAAAUAGUAUAGGAAAAUAAAUAUAUUUGAACUCUUUA